CCUACGGGCGGCAGCAGUGAGGAAUAUUGGUCAAUGGUCGGGAGACUGAACCAGCCAAGCCGCGUGAGGGAGGAAGGUACAGAGUAUCGUAAACCUCUUUUGUCAGGGAACAAAGACUGGGACGCGUCCCCGGAUGAGUGUACCUGAAGAAAAAGCAUCGGCUAACUCCGUGCCAGCAGCCGCGGUAAUACGGGGGAUGCGGGGGUUAUCCGGAUUUAUUGGGUUUAAAGGGUGGGCAGGCGGUCUGUUACGUUAGCGGUAAAAUCCCGGGGCGCAACCCCGGCCCGCCGUUGAAACUGGCAGUCUCGAGUUGGAGAGAAGUAUGCGGAAUGCGCGGUGUAGCGGUGAAAUGCAUAGAUAUCGCGCAGAACGCCGAUUGCGAAGGCAGCAUGCCGGCUCCACACUGACGCUGAGGCACGAAAGCGUGGGUAUCGAACAGGAUUAGAUACCCUGGUAGUC
rnacentral:rRNA from 1 species